rnacentral:rRNA from 1 species
UACGGGGGGAGCAAGCGUUGUUCGGAUUUACUGGGCGUAAAGGGCUCGUAGGUGGCCAACUAAGUCAGACGUGAAAUCCCUCGGCUUAACCGGGGAACUGCGUCUGAUACUGGAUGGCUUGAGUUUGGGAGAGGGACGCGGAAUUCCAGGUGUAGCGGUGAAAUGCGUAGAUAUCUGGAGGAACACCGGUGGCGAAGGCGGCGUCCUGGACCAACACUGACGCUGAGGCACGAAAGCGUGGGGAGCAAACAGG